rnacentral:lncRNA from 1 species
CUCAAGGGGCCUCUAUGUGGCAGCUCUGAGCUAUUAAGCCUCAGCCACCCUUAGGGGAACUAUGCAAUGGAGCAGGGCAGAAAGUGCCACUAACUUCAGGAAACUCUUGCUUUCUGACGUCCUGUUCGGAAGUUCUUCCAGUCCUCCAGAGCAGCCAUUCUCAAUGGGGGCCACAUGGUCCCAUGGAGGCCCCUGGCACAUUUGAAGGGGGCCACAGACUGGAAUCAGUUCUUCACAUACCACCUUAAAAGGUUUGUUAUGAGAUUUAUUCAAUCCUGAUUCCGCCUAUACAUAUUUAUGGCCAUGACCAAUAAAAGUUCAUAAUCUGCUCGGGAACA